CACUCUGAUAAUAAUUAUUUUAUUGAAUAAUAUUUUUUCAAAUUUAUUAAUAGUUUAUGUUAUAUAAUAAUAAUCAUGUUAAUAUUUUAAUUUUACUACUGAGUAGGUUUUAUAUAUGUGUGGGUAAUAAUAAUGUACGCACACACCUUACUCCUAAAAUCAAUCUAUCCACUAUGUAUAUAAUUUUCUUAUUAAUGAAUUAAAAAUUAAUGUAUAAUGUAUUAUUGAAUAUGAUAAUAUUGUAUUGAUUAUAAUAAUAAUAAUAAUAAUAUGAAUAGGUAUAUAGCAUAAUAAAAUGAUUAAUAACAAAAAGUCUUUAAAUGUAAAUUAAAAAAUACAAAUAAUAUUAAUAAUAUUCCUACGUUUAAUUCAUAAAUAAUAAUUAUAAAAAUUGUAAUACAUAAUGUUCCAUAAAUUAAAAUUAAAUAUAAAGAAAUAAAAAAAAAAAAAACGAAAAUUAUUAAAAUAUACAAAAUUACUAAGUAAAACCAAAAAAAAUUUUGUAAGUAUAUUUUAAAAUAAUAUGGUUAAGGAUAAAAAAAAAAAACGCAAAAAUACAAUACUAAGAAUAAAAAAAAAAUCGUUUUAUGCCAUCGGAGAAGUAUAUUAUAAUUUUAUAAGGAGAUAGGUAAAUCUCGUAUAGGUUAUAACGUCACACAGAAGUUUAAAAAUGUAUAAGAAGUAUAAAGUUAGAACUUUUUUUUUUUUAUUAAGCGUUAUAUUAAUUUAUAAUCACUACAGUGUUGUAUCAUCGAUAAAGUUUAUUAAAAUUUCAGAUAAAUGUAUAUAGGUAGUAUAGGUAAUUUAGGUGUUUAUUCCGUCGUAGUAUUUUUUCUGGUUUUUUUAAUGGACUUAUAUGUAAUAUUUGAUCAAGAUGCGAGAUGUUCGAGAAUAAUCGUAAUUGUUUGUUCGUUAGAAGAUCGAUUUAUUUUUUAUAUUCAAAAAGAUUACAUAAUUGUUUUGCGGCAAUCGUUUGGUACCCUGCCGCGAUGGAAUAAUAAUGUAUUAAUUCAACGCGGUCGGUAAUGUUUAUACAAACACUCCGAAUCCACACUUAACGCCGGACUUGUUUUGUUCUUUUAGCAAUAUUUUAAAUCGCGUAAACCGGACAUUCGUUGGUGCAUAAUAUAAUUUUUUUUAAGCGUUUUCCAUUCGAUCGCAACCGUGUACCUACACUGAUGUAAAACGUUUCGCUCGCUAUCGCCCGACGGCCGUCGCCGGCCCAUCGAAUUCCCUACGACGGUGAAGUGAAAUCUCAUCUAUACGCGCGAGUGUGUUACAACAUUUAUGUUGUCCAUCCAUGUUCGAUGAGGACCGGGCGAGCGAUCUAUAGUACUCUGGUCUGAUAGCUGUUAUCCAGUUCGCGAUAUAUCACCAUGUCGUACGAGAAUAUUCUAAUAUUACGUUUCACUUCGCAAUAUUGUUCAUUAAAAAAAAAUAAACACCGGGCACACCGGCUGAGUGUGACGUCCACUGACCGCGCGUAGUGUAGGUACGCAGGUGUAAUCGGACGAAAAACGCCAUUAGAUACCUAAAAUAUUGUACGACGAAUCAACGAAAUAUUACCUAUACUACACUAUUCGGAUAGAUAUUAAAUUUAGUUAUGAUAAUAAUAAUUAUAGUUCCAAUAUUAUGCAGACAUUAAGAAUAUAAUAUAAUAUAAUAUAAUAAUAAUAAUAAUAAUAAUAAUAAUGUAUAUAAUAAUAAUAAUUACGAAACGUAAUAUUUCCAAACAUCAACACGCUAAUUUUAUUAAAAUGUAUUAUAUUAUGUAAAACCGAGAUUAAUAUAAAGUAAAAGAGUAUAUAAUAAUUAUUUUUAAUGUAAUAUAACGUAAUAAUAAAAUAUUAUGGGUGUUAUUAUUAUACGGAUAUUACCGUUAAACUACAAUAGUAAUAAUAAUAAUGUAACGUAAGAAUUAUGACAGGUAAGUAUAAUAUUAAGAAUAAUACUAAAUGACUUAUGAAUUAAAUAGUACGUCUUAUUAUAUCUAUUUUUUUUUUUUUUUUUUAAGUAUUUUUAUUAUUGAUUUCGUUAUCGCUACAAUGAAAACACACUCUAGCGAUACCCACUACUCAUAUUAUAACGGUACCGACAUUGCAGAUAACGUCGACUUAAAUAAUCUUACUAUUGUUUAUCAUCGAACCCCCUCCGGACUUUUGCCCCUCGGAUAUCGCUUGUUUUUCGCCUUUUCCAAUCCCGUUUUAUAAUUCAUAAUACCCGACACUGUAUACUGAAUAAAGUCGAUUUUGGCGACUUUCAAUAUACUCGCAUACAAAAGUAAUUUUUUCUUUAUCUCGUUGGGUUCGCGAUGUCCGCAUGUCCACAAAUCGGAUACGAUUUUGGCAAUAAUGUUUAUUACCUAUUGUAUUAUUAUAGGAGAUCGACACUUCGGAUAAAAAUUACGGGCGGAAUCUUAUUGUAUACCGUAAUAACAUUACAACCAAUCGAUCGUAAUAUUAUCAUCAACAUGGAGGGGGUCGUUUAUCGAAAAAAUCAUUUUAUACAGGUAUUUCAUUGCAAUGUCUACAUUUUCGGUAUCAUUCCGUAUAUGGCUACAGCGAAAUCGAUUAUUGUGCACGCUAAACGUAGUAAAAUUAUUAUUCUAAAUAAUUAUCGUGAUUAAUUCUAAGCUUAUAAUAUAGUAAAUAUUAUGAGUAUAUUUCUACACACACGCGUUACCGUACAUCAUUCAAAAUAUUUUAUACCUAUGCAUAACUAAAUUUACUAUAAUUUAUAUUUGGUUUUCUUGCCAGUUCAAUAAUAAUUUAAUUAUAGUAUUUAUGAUUAUUAUAUUUUUACGUAGAACACAAUAUUAUUAUUACGUAUCAUCUAAAAGCGAUAUAUUAUCAUAUAUUUUAAUUUUGCUAACCGCUCUUCGGCAGGACGAGACUACGCGAAAAUCAGUAUCGUAGCGUGCUACUAAUUAUUAUAAUAAUAUUGUUACAUAUUUUAUACCUACGAGACAACUAACGUUAUCUGGUUUACAAUAUUGUUAUACUGUGUGUACAUUAUUAAUUACUUAAGCGGUAAUGACGAUCAUUCGUAUAUGAGUAAAAACAAUAUUCUAUUCUUUUGUUCGCGAACAAUUAUGUAACUAUAUUAAAUUACCAUUAAAAUGCCUACGGUGAAAUAUUGCUUAAAAUUAAUUUUAACACAUCUACUUUGUAAUAUUAAUAUUAUAGUUUAUUUUAUUUUUUUUUUGUCGCGAAUAAGAAACGCUGAAGUUAUAGUGUUAUGACGUGUUGACAAAGGACCGUCGGAAAAGACCAAUAAUAUCAAUAUCAGGUUCGGAAAUGAUAGAUUGUUGUCGACGAGAGAAACGCAAACGUACGGCUAACAAUAUUAUAAACAUAAUAUUCGUACGGGACGAUUUUUUUUUUUUCCGUUUUUCUUUAUCCGACACAAUAUUAGCGCCACUUUUCGGUCGUGAUUUUCAAACAUUUUUUUUUCGCGUUUUUCAUGAAACCUGUGCGAUUUUUUAUUGUGUCGACGUCAACGCCGCGCAAAAACUAUGAUAUUAUUUUUGUCUAUCAAGUUCUAAACCGUGAGAAAUUAUGCGGAUAAAUAUAUUACCUAUUGACAUUAACGUGCGUGCUGGUUUAUGAACGCAGAAUCGACGGGUGUUGUGCGUCUCAAUGUAUUCAGCAGGAGAUGCAACUUCGCGUUUAUUCGAAAAACAGUGUAUAUAAUAACGUUGUAUAUUAUAAUGGGUAUAGGUAAUAAGUAAAUAUAGUAUGGGUGCAGUUACAAAUAUUAUAAUAAAUAGGAUUAAAUAUCGUAUAGAUACUUUGGCACGAUUUUCGUUUUUGUUUUAAUCGAUUUUUUUUUUUUUUUUUUUUGUUACAAAUUGACAAAUUAAAAAUCAAUUUUUCAUUUGGUAUCUCUUUCUGGCUUACUCUCUCUCUCUCUCUCUCUCUUUCUCCAUGUUAAACACGUCAUACACGUCAUAACGGCGGUUUUUAACCGUUUUUACGAAUAUAUUUGACAUUUUCGGAGAGAUUUUCGGCGGAAUUCAACCAAUAUUGGCAAUAUUGAAGGUUUUACGUUUAAAUUACCAUCAUAAUAUUAUUAUGUCAGUUUGCGGACGCGUAAACGCGUGCGUGCAAGGUGUUUAAUGUCUUUGGUACGGGAUAUUACAGCGGCGUAAGCGCUCGCGGUUUUAAAAUGGUCUUUUAUUAUUUUUGUUUAGUAUAUUUGGUUAAAAAGACUGCAGUAUAACAAGCAGUCAGCAGUUUGAUGGAAUUUUCACGGACACAUUUGUAAGUACCGAAAUGUUCUUUGGAUACAUAAUAGUUAUUAGGUGAAGUCACGGAGCUGGAUUAUGGGAAAGGCUUAGGGGGGGAGCAAUAAUCCCGGGCCGCAAGUCGAACAAGGGCUACACAAUGUUUUUUGCUGAAGACUUUUUUUUUUUUUGUCUAUCGAUCUUUUAUACGAAUAUUAGAACAUUAUACGAAUUCUUUGCUGAUGACUUUUUUUUUUUUUGGUCUCUAGUCCCGGGCCCCCAUAAUCCGGCAAUGUGAAGUCGAUUUCUGCAUGAUGAUGAAUUCGACAAAUUUCCUGUUCGAUAACAAUAAUAAUUAUUGUUAUUUGAUAACGACGGAAUAUGUAUGAAUGUUUACUUCACAUUGUUAUUGUGUACAAUUCACCUUUAAAAUGGAUUUUUUAUUGCUUUUUGCGAAUUCGCGAUUUCAUUCGAAAUGCCACAAUUCAAGUUUAUUAAGUGUACUUGAAUUUGUUUAUAAUUUCUUUUUCUUUAAGGGUCGCAACAUAUUAUGCAUACUAAUGGAAAUAUCGUACGUACUUUAUAUUAAUCUAUGCGUGAUGGACAGCGGCGAUAAUAUUAUAUAAAUAUUUUCGAAAUUAAUCGACGGUCGAACAUGAUAUCUCCAUCAUAGUAUACGUAUUACACGCGUGUUACAGCGAAAUUACGGCCCUUAGAAUUAUUAAGCCGUAUCCGGUACGUGUUGUUAAUGAUUUCGGAUCGGCCAAGUUCGCGAGAGAUUUUUCAACGGAUAUCGGUUUUAUGGAAUAUAUAUAGUUGCAUAAUAUAAUGUUAUGCGGGUAGUUCUUCCGGAACGGAAUUGGGAAUCUACUGUGCCGGGAGAACAGGAUUAGAUGACAGUUCGUACUGUAUAUUAUUUGUUUCCCCUUGUAUAGUAUUUUGUAUUAAUGAUUUAAAUAGGUAUCUACGUGAUUUUCGUAAAUCGAAAUAAUAAUAAUGCCCACUUAAAACUCGACGGAAUAUUAAACAUUAAUGUUAUUAUAUAGUGACUAUUGACGUUUUUUUCUUUUUUAUAUAUACUGUUUGUGGUCUACGAUACUCGUAAGUUUUCUGUUUAUUUUUAUCAUUUGUUAUUAGAUUAAUUGUAUUUGUUUACCGUUCGAAACUAUGAUCAUACCAUACAUUAUUACCUGCAGCUACUAUAUAGACUGCGAUAGUUUCUAAUUUUCUACGGCCGCGAUGAAAUUACACUACACACGAUAAUAUGUUUAACGUAUAACAGUAUUGUUUAGUAUCCCUUCGUAGUUUAAGA